CCCGAAGUAUCCUGAAUCUUUCGCAUUGUUAAUCAUACAAGUGCAUAUAAUAAACACAAAAAUCAAUGAUAAUUAUGCCAUUAUAUAAUUCCGAAAAAUUAACGCACUGUAUUCUUAUUAAUCUAUCAGCACUUUAUCAAAUUAAUGACAUUUAUUCUAUGUUAAAAUGCAAGCAUAAUAAUUUGAAUAAACUAUAAGCCAUAUUUUAUGAUAAAUUNAUUGUAUACUAAUAGAUUACAAUGUCCUUAUAUGGAAAAAAUGCACACUAUUAUUAUAAUAUUGUUUAAAUAUAAUAACUUUAAUGAUGAAUUUUCCAUAAUGGAUAUUCAGGUUCAUCGGGC
rnacentral:rRNA from 1 species